rnacentral:rRNA from 1 species
GAUGAACGCUGGCGGCGUGCCUAAUACAUGCAGGUCGAGCGAACAGAUAAGGAGCUUGCUCCUUUGACGUUAGCGGCGGACGGGUGAGUAACACGUGGGUAACCUACCUAUGAGACUGGGAUAACUUCGGGAAACCGGAGCUAAUACCGGAUAACAUUUGGAACCGCAUGGUUCUAAAGUGAAAGAUGGUUUUGCUAUCACUUAUAGAUGGACCCGCGCCGUAUUAGCUAGUUGGUAAGGUAACGGCUUACCAAGGCGACGAUACGUAGCCGACCUGAGAGGGUGAUCGGCCACACUGGAACUGAGACACGGUCCAGACUCCUACGGGAGGCAGCAGUAGGGAAUCUUCCGCAAUGGGCGAAAGCCUGACGGAGCAACGCCGCGUGAGUGAUGAAGGGUUUCGGCUCGUAAAACUCUGUUAUUAGGGAAGAACAAAUGUGUAAGUAACUGUGCACGUCUUGACGGUACCUAAUCAGAAAGCCACGGCUAACUACGUG